rnacentral:rRNA from 1 species
AGACCCGAAACCCGGUGAUCUAGCCAUGGGCAGGUUGAAGGUUGGGUAACACUAACUGGAGGACCGAACCGACUAAUGUUGAAAAAUUAGCGGAUGACCUGUGGCUGGGGGUGAAAGGCCAAUCAAACCGGGAGAUAGCUGGUUCUCCCCGAAAGCUAUUUAGGUAGCGCCUCGUGAAUUCAUCUCCGGGGGUAGAGCACUGUUUCGGCUAGGGGGCCAUCCCGGCUUACCAACCCGAUGCAAACUGCGAAUACCGGAGAAUGUUAUCACGGGAGACACACGGCGGGUGCUAACGUCCGUCGUGAAGAGGGAAACAACCCAGACCGCCAGCUAAGGUCCCAAAGUCAUGGUUAAGUGGGAAACGAUGUGGGAAGGCCCAGACAGCCAGGAUGUUGGCUUAGAAGCAGCCAUCAUUUAAAGAAAGCGUAAUAGCUCACUGGUCGAGUCGGCCUGCGCGGAAGAUGUAACGGGGCUAAACCAUGCACCGAAGCUGCGGCAGCGACGCUGAUGCGUUGUUGGGUAGGGGAGCGUUCUGUAAGCCUGCGAAGGUGGCCUGUGAGGGUUGCUGGAGGUAUCAGAAGUGCGAAUGCUGACAUAAGUAACGAUAAAGCGGGUGAAAAGCCCG